rnacentral:rRNA from 1 species
UACGGGAGGGAGCUAGCGUUGUUCGGAAUUACUGGGCGUAAAGCGCACGUAGGCGGCUAUUCAAGUCAGGGGUGAAAUCCCGGGGCUCAACCCCGGAACUGCCUCUGAAACUAGAUAGCUAGAAUCUUGGAGAGGUCAGUGGAAUUCCGAGUGUAGAGGUGAAAUUCGUAGAUAUUCGGAAGAACACCAGUGGCGAAGGCGACUGACUGGACAAGUAUUGACGCUGAGGUGCGAAAGCGUGGGGAGCAAACAGG